ACAUGCAGCCGAGCGGUAGAGAUCUUUCGGGAUCUUGAGAGCGGCGUACGGGUGCGGAACACGUGUGCAACCUGCCUUUAUCAGGGGGAUAGCCUUUCGAAAGGAAGAUUAAUACCCCAUAAUAUUUAGAAUGGCAUCAUUUUAAAUUGAAAACUCCGGUGGAUAGAGAUGGGCACGCGCAAGAUUAGAUAGUUGGUGAGGUAACGGCUCACCAAGUCUGCGAUCUUUAGGGGGCCUGAGAGGGUGAUCCCCCACACUGGUACUGAGACACGGACCAGACUCCUACGGGAGGCAGCAGUGAGGAAUAUUGGACAAUGGGUGCGAGCCUGAUCCAGCCAUCCCGCGUGAAGGAUGACGGCCCUAUGGGUUGUAAACUUCUUUUGUAUAGGGAUAAACCUAGAUACGUGUAUCUAGCUGAAGGUACUAUACGAAUAAGCACCGGCUAACUCCGUGCCAGCAGCCGCGGUAAUACGGAGGGUGCAAGCGUUAUCCGGAUUUAUUGGGUUUAAAGGGUCCGUAGGCGGAUCUGUAAGUCAGUGGUGAAAUCUCACAGCUUAACUGUGAAACUGCCAUUGAUACUGCAGGUCUUGAGUGUUGUUGAAGUAGCUGGAAUAAGUAGUGUAGCGGUGAAAUGCAUAGAUAUUACUUAGAACACCAAUUGCGAAGGCAGGUUACUAAGCAACAACUGACGCUGAUGGACGAAAGCGUGGGGAGCGAACAGGAUUAGAUACCCUGGUAGUCCACGCCGUAAACGAUGCUAACUCGUUUUUGGAGCGCAAGCUUCAGAGACUAAGCGAAAGUGAUAAGUUAGCCACCUGGGGAGUACGAACGCAAGUUUGAAACUCAAAGGAAUUUGACGGGGGGCCCGC
rnacentral:rRNA from 1 species